UGGCUCAGAUUGAACGCUGGCGGCAGGCCUAACACAUGCAAGUCGAGCGGAUGAAGGGAGCUUGCUCCUUGAUUCAGCGGCGGACGGGUGAGUAAUGCCUAGGAAUCUGCCUGGUAGUGGGGGACAACGUCUCGAAAGGGACGCUAAUACCGCAUACGUCUACGGGAGAAAGCAGGGGACCUUUCGGGCCUUGCGCUAUCAGAUGAGCCUAGGUCGGAUUAGCUAGUUGGUGAGGUAAUGGCUCACCAAGGCGACGAUCCGUAACUGGUCUGAGAGGAUGAUCAGUCACACUGGAACUGAGACACGGUCCAGACUCCUACGGGAGGCAGCAGUGGGGAAUAUUGGACAAUGGGCGAAAGCCUGAUCCAGCCAUGCCGCGUGUGUGAAGAAGGUCUUCGGAUUGUAAAGCACUUUAAGUUGGGAGGAAGGGCAGUAAAUUAAUACUUUGCUGUUUUGACGUUACCGACAGAAUAAGCACCGGCUAACUCUGUGCCAGCAGCCGCGGUAAUACAGAGGGUGCAAGCGUUAAUCGGAAUUACUGGGCGUAAAGCGCGCGUAGGUGGUUUGUUAAGUUGGAUGUGAAAGCCCCGGGCUCAACCUGGGAACUGCAUUCAAAACUGACAAGCUAGAGUAUGGUAGAGGGUGGUGGAAUUUCCUGUGUAGCGGUGAAAUGCGUAGAUAUAGGAAGGAACACCAGUGGCGAAGGCGACCACCUGGACUGAUACUGACACUGAGGUGCGAAAGCGUGGGGAGCAAACAGGAUUAGAUACCCUGGUAGUCCACGCCGUAAACGAUGUCAACUAGCCGUUGGGAGCCUUGAGCUCUUAGUGGCGCAGCUAACGCAUUAAGUGACCGC
rnacentral:rRNA from 1 species